UAGGGAAUAUUGGACAAUGGGGGCAACCCUGAUCCAGCCAUGCCGCGUGAGUGAAGAGGGCCCUCGGGUUGUAAAGCUCUUUUGUCCGGAAAGAAAAGCUUCGGGUUAAUACCCCGGGGUUCUGACGGUACCGGAAGAAUAAGCACCGGCUAACUUCGUGCCAGCAGCCGCGGUAAUACGAAGGGUGCAAGCGUUACUCGGAAUUACUGGGCGUAAAGCGUGCGUAGGUGGUUGUUUAAGUCUGAUGUGAAAGCCCUGGGCUCAACCUGGGAAUGGCAUUGGAAACUGGGCAGCUAGAGUGCGGUAGAGGGUAGUGGAAUUCCCGGUGUAGCAGUGAAAUGCGUAGAGAUCGGGAGGAACAUCUGUGGCGAAGGCGACUGCCUGGACCAGCACUGACACUGAGGCAC
rnacentral:rRNA from 1 species